GACGAACGCUGGCGGCGUGCCUAAUACAUGCAAGUAGAACGCUGAAGGAGGAGCUUGCUUCUCUGGAUGAGUUGCGAACGGGUGAGUAACGCGUAGGUAACCUGCCUGGUAGCGGGGGAUAACUAUUGGAAACGAUAGCUAAUACCGCAUAACAGUAGAUAUCGCAUGAUAUCUACUUGAAAGGUGCAAUUGCAUCACUACCAGAUGGACCUGCGUUGUAUUAGCUAGUUGGUGAGGUAACGGCUCACCAAGGCGACGAUACAUAGCCGACCUGAGAGGGUGAUCGGCCACACUGGGACUGAGACACGGCCCAGACUCCUACAGGAGGCAGCAGUAGGGAAUCUUCGGCAAUGGACGGAAGUCUGACCGAGCAACGCCGCGUGAGUGAAGAAGGUUUUCGGAUCGUAAAGCUCUGUUGUAAGAGAAGAACGAGUGUGAGAGUGGAAAGUUCACACUGUGACGGUAUCUUACCAGAAAGGGACGGCUAACUACGUG
rnacentral:rRNA from 1 species